GGGAGGGCUCCUGGGAGAAGUAAGCUUUAAGCUGGAGGUCAGGAUCACACAGACUCAGAAGGCAACAGCUGCUUGCCUUGCCUGAAAAUGCCUUGUGAUGGUGACUCCAGGACACAGCAAGUCCCUUCAAGGAGCACGCCAUUACCAAUAUAAUGCUUGAUUUGGUCAAGAGAAAGCAUUAAAUUACUCUCCACAUAAGCCUUACAAGGUGGCCCUGAAUCUUCUUAUCCAGCAAUUUUCGAGUGUGCAAGACUGAGGUGAAAGUAAGUUUCUGCCGUGUGAACAGCCUGCCUUCAGUGAGCCGUUUGUUCUUUAGGGAAAGCUUUGUCUCUCCAUUGCCUGAUGCUGCUGGUGGGAAACACGCUUUCAGCAAACCCACAGUCCUUUCAGUGCCUUGGCUAAAGGAAGGAGAAGGAGAGAAAGGAGACCGAGCGAAGGCCGCUGGGACGGGCUUGGUGCCAUAGAGCAGGAAGAGCCACGUUCUUGAUUUCUGUGCUCUGAGGCUGGAGGAGCCUCCUCAGUCUGGACCCCAGGAAUCUGACUGACCAGGAACACCCUGUCAGCAUACUCCACAGCAGUGCUGUCCCCCAGAGACAGCGCUGCCUUACCAACUGGAAUCACAGGCACACACAGGAAAUGCUUCUUAUUUCACAAAAUAACACUCAACUUUGAAUGUUG
rnacentral:lncRNA from 1 species